rnacentral:rRNA from 3 species
UACGGAGGAUCCAAGCGUUAUCCGGAUUUAUUGGGUUUAAAGGGUGCGUAGGUGGGAUGAUAAGUCAGAGGUGAAAGCUAGCAGCUUAACUGUUAAAUUGCCUUUGAUACUGUUAUUCUUGAGUAUAGUUGGCGUUGGCGGAAUGUGACAUGUAGCGGUGAAAUGCGUAGAUAUGUCACAGAACACCGAUCGCGAAGGCAGCUAACGAAACUAUCACUGACACUGAUGCACGAAAGCGUGGGGAGCAAACAGG